UGCCGUCUUCGCUGGAAAAAUUCCUGGCCAACACAUAAUAUGCAGAAUCCCGGAUUGUGGCAAAAACCUCUGUAAAAACGGCUGGUGUGAGGAGACUAUGGUAGGCUACCACUGUCACUGCUCAAGUGGGUUUCAAGGGAGACACUGCGAUGAACAGUCAACGGAGGAAGCGACGAACAAGCCUACGACGAGCCCUUCGACUACGAUGACGGAACGCUCAGACACAACGACUUCUCAAAGCACCACUA